rnacentral:rRNA from 1 species
AACGAACGCUGGCGGCAGGCUUAACACAUGCAAGUCGAGCGCCCCGCAAGGGGAGCGGCAGACGGGUGAGUAACGCGUGGGAAUCUACCCAUCUCUACGGAAUAACGCAUGGAAACGUGUGCUAAUGCCGUAUACGUCCUUCGGGAGAAAGAUUUAUCGGAGAUGGAUGAGCCCGCGUUGGAUUAGCUAGUUGGUGGGGUAAAGGACUACCAAGGCGACGAUCCAUAGCUGGUCUGAGAGGAUGAUCAGCCACACUGGGACUGAGACACGGCCCAGACUCCUACGGGAGGCAGCAGUGGGGAAUAUUGGACAAUGGGCGCAAGCCUGAUCCAGCCAUGCCGCGUGAGUGAUGAAGGCCCUAGGGUUGUAAAGCUCUUUCACCGGUGAAGAUAAUGACGGUAACCGGAGAAGAAGCCCCGGCUAACUUCGUGCCAGCCGCCGCAGUAAAAC